rnacentral:rRNA from 1 species
UACGGAGGGUGCAAGCGUUAUCCGGAUUUAUUGGGUUUAAAGGGUGCGUAGGCGGAUUAUUAAGUCAGUGGUGAAAGCCUGCAGCUUAACUGCAGAACUGCCAUUGAUACUGAUGAUCUUGAGUAUGAUUGAGGUGGGCGGAAUGUGUCAUGUAGCGGUGAAAUGCUUAGAUAUGACACAGAACACCGAUUGCGAAGGCAGCUCACUAAGCCAUAACUGACGCUGAUGCACGAAAGCGUGGGGAGCAAACAGG